rnacentral:rRNA from 1 species
UACGAAGGGGGCAAGCGUUGUUCGGAUUUACUGGGCGUAAAGCGCACGUAGGCGGUUUGUUAAGUCAGGGGUGAAAUCCCAGAGCUCAACUCUGGAACUGCCUUUGAUACUGGCAAGCUAGAGUCCGGAAGAGGUAAGUGGAACUCCUAGUGUAGAGGUGGAAUUCGUAGAUAUUAGGAAGAACACCAGUGGCGAAGGCGGCUUACUGGGCCGGAACUGACGCUGAGGUGCGAAAGCGUGGGGAGCAAACAGG